rnacentral:rRNA from 1 species
AAUGARAGUCGGAGCGGGCGUAGCAAUACGUCRGCGGCAGACGGGUGAGUAACGCGUGGGAACGUASCUUUUGGUUCGGAACAACACAGGGAAACUUGUGCUAAUACCGGAUAAGCCCUUACGGGGAAAGAUUUAUCGCCGAAAGAUCGGCCCGCGUCUGAUUAGCUAGUUGGUGAGGUAACGGCUCACCAAGGCGACGAUCAGUAGCUGGUCUGAGAGGAUGAUCAGCCACAUUGGGACUGAGACACGGCCCAAACUCCUACGGGAGGCAGCAGUGGGGAAUAUUGGACAAUGGGCGCAAGCCUGAUCCAGCCAUGCCGCGUGAGUGAUGAAGGCCCUAGGGUUGUAAAGCUCUUUUGUGCGGGAAGAUAAUGACUGUACCGCAAGAAUAAGCCCCGGCUAACUUCGUGCCAGCAGCCGCGGUAAUACGAAGGGGGCUAGCGUUGCUCGGAAUCACUGGGCGUAAAGGGUGCGUAGGCGGGUCUUUAAGUCAGGGGUGAAAUCCUGGAGCUCAACUCCAGAACUGCCUUUGAUACUGAGGAUCUUGAGUUCGGGAGAGGUGAGUGGAACUGCGAGUGUAGAGGUGAAAUUCGUAGAUAUUCGCAAGAACACCAGUGGCGAAGGCGGCUCACUGGCCCGAUACUGACGCUGAKGCACGAAAGCGUGGGGAGCAAACAGGAUUAGAUACCCUGGUAGUCCACGCCCUAAACGAUGCGAACUGGGAUGUUGGGCUCAACUUGCAGCUCAGUAUCGAAGCUAACGCGUUAAGUUCGCCCGCCCUGGGGAGUACGGUCGCAAGACUGAAACUCAAAGGGAAAUUGACGGGGGCCCCGCACAAGCGGGU